CUGAACUCCUGCGGCGUAGAUCCGAGGAGUUUCAGACAAAAAACCCUAACCCCCAAUCGCUUCUCUUUCCCUCAGAUCUUUUACUCUUCUUUAUCAGUCAUGGCUGGCUUGGCACCGGAAGGUUCUCAAUUUGAUGCUCGUCAAUUUGAUGCUAAAAUGACAGAGCUGCUUGGGACUGAACAGCAGGAGUUCUUUACAUCAUAUGAUGAAGUUCAUGACAGUUUCGAUGCCAUGGGUUUGCAAGAAAAUCUUCUUAGGGGCAUCUAUGCCUAUGGUUUUGAG
rnacentral:misc_RNA from 1 species